GUGAAUCAUCGAAUUUUUGAACGCAAAUUGCACUCUCUGCUGAGAGUAUGCCUGUUUGAGGGUCAGCCUAAGAAAAUUCGACAUAUUUGCUGUUUCGCGGUGACAUGGGUCGGAAAUUGGUUCAUCUUAAACCUUUGGGGUUUAAGCGGCUUAAAAUUUUCUUUACGAUUCCACGAACGUUUCUAGGAUGUACUUCUUACGUUUCAGGUAUCUAUUUUUAUUAGACGUUUCCGGUGCAUCUGGUUUGGGCCAUAAAUAUUUCGUUAA
rnacentral:misc_RNA from 1 species